UGGGGGAUAUUGCACAAUGGGCGCAAGCCUGAUGCAGCGACGCCGCGUGGGGGAUGAAGGCCUUCGGGUUGUAAACUUCUUUUGCUCUGAACAAGGCGCACUUUGGGGUGUGUUGAGUGUAGGGGUUGAUUAGCGCCGGCUAACUACGUGCCAGCAGCCGCGGUAAUACGUAGGGCGCGAGCGUUGUCCGGAAUUAUUGGGCGUAAAGGGCUUGUAGGUGGCUGGUUGCGUCUGUCGUGAAAGCUCAUGGCUUAACUGUGGGUUUGCGGUGGGUACGGGCUGGCUUGAGUGCAGUAGGGGAGGCUGGAAUUCCUGGUGUAGCGGUGGAAUGCGCAGAUAUCAGGAGGAAUACCGGUAGCGAAGGCGGGUCUCUGGGCUGUUACUGACACUGAGGAGCGAAAGCAUGGGGAGCGAACAGG
rnacentral:rRNA from 1 species